rnacentral:rRNA from 1 species
CAAUAGCGUAUAUUAAAGUUGUUGCGGUUAAAAGCUCGUACUGUAGUUGGAUUUCUGCCGAGGACGACCGGUCAGCCCUCUGGGUGAGUAUCUGGUUCGGCCUGGGCAUCUUCUUGGAGAACGUAUCUGCACUUGACUGUGUGGUGCGGUAUCCAGGACUUUUACUUUGAGGAAAUUAGAGUGUUUCAAGCAAGCACACGCCUUGAAUACAUUAGCAUGGAAUAAUAAGAUAGGACCUUGGUUCUAUUUUGUUGGUUUCUAGAGCUGAGGUAAUGAUUAAUAGGGAUAGUUGGGGGGCAUUCAUAUUUAACUGUCAGAGGUGAAAUUCUGGGAUUUGUUAAAGACGGACUACUGCGAAAGCAUUUGCCAAGGAUGUUUUCAUUGAUCAAGAACGAAAGUUAGGGGAUCGAAGAUGAUCAGAU